rnacentral:rRNA from 1 species
UACGGAGGGUGCUAGCGUUGUUCGGAAUUACUGGGCGUAAAGCGCGUGCAGGCGGUCGGGUAAGUCGGUUGUGAAAGCCCCAGGCUUAACUUGGGAAUUGCAUCCGAAACUGCUCGGCUAGAGUCCCGGAGAGGAAGGCGGAACUCCCAGUGUAGGGGUGAAAUCCGUAGAUAUUGGGAAGAACACCGGCGGCGAAGGCGGCCUUCUGGACGGUGACUGACGCUGAGACGCGAAAGCGUGGGGAGCAAACAGG